GGGAAGUGCGAACGUAGAGGGUGAUAUUCCCGUACACGAAAGGGCACACAUAAUGAUGACGAGUAGGGCGAGGCACGUGAAACCUUGUCUGAAUAUGGGGGGACCAUCCUCCAAGGCUAAAUACUCCUGACUGACCGAUAGUGAACCAGUACCGUGAGGGAAAGGCGAAAAGAACCCCUGUGAGGGGAGUGAAAUAGAUCCUGAAACCGCAUGCAUACAAGCAGUGGGAGCACCUUCGUGGUGUGACUGCGUACCUUUUGUAUAAUGGGUCAGCGACUUAUAUUCAGUAGCGAGGUUAACCGUAUAGGGGAGCCGUAGAGAAAUCGAGUCUUAAUAGGGCGUUUAGUUGCUGGGUAUAGACCCGAAACCAGGCGAUCUAUCCAUGAGCAGGUUGAAGGUUGGGUAACACUAACUGGAGGACCGAACCCACUGUCGUUGAAAAGCCAGGGGAUGACUUGUGGAUAGGGGUGAAAGGCUAAUCAAGCCUGGUGAUAGCUGGUUCUCCCCGAAAGCUAUUUAGGUAGCGCCUCGGACGAAUACCAUAGGGGGUAGAGCACUGUUUCGGCUAGGGGGUCAUCCCGACUUACCAAACCGAUGCAAACUCCGAAUACCUAUGAGUACUAUCCGGGAGACAGACUGCGGGUGCUAACGUCCGUAGUCAAGAGGAAAACAAUCCAGACCGCCAGCUAAGGCCCCAAAAUCAUAGUUAAGUGGGAAACGAUGUGGGAAGGCAUAGACAGCUAGGAGGUUGGCUUAGAAGCAGCCACCCUUUAAAGAAAGCGUAAUAGCUCACUAGUCGAGUCGGCCUGCGCGGAAGAUGUAACGGGGCUAAAACUAUGUGCCGAAGCUGCGGAUGUAUACUUUGUAUACGUGGUAGGGGAGCGUUCUGUAAGCCGAUGAAGGUGUGUUGAGAAGCAUGCUGGAGGUAUCAGAAGUGCGAAUGCUGACGUGAGUAACGACAAAACGGGUGAAAAACCCGUUCGCCGAAAGACCAAGGGUUCCAGUCCAACGUUAAUCGGGGCUGGGUGAGUCGACCCCUAAGGCGAGGCCGAAAGGCGUAGUCGAUGGGAAAAUGGUUAAUAUUCCAUUACUUCUGUGUAAUGCGAUGAGAGGACGGAGAAGGCUAAAUCAGCCUGGCGUUGGUUGUCCAGGUGAAAGGAUGUAGGCAUGUAUCUUAGGCAAAUCCGGGGUACUCUAUGCUGAGAUCUGAUAGCAAGCUGUACUUGUACAGCGAAGUGGUUGAUGCCAUGCUUCCAGGAAAAGUCUCUAAGCUUCAGUUACACAGGAAUCGUACCCGAAACCGACACAGGUGGUCAGGUCGAGUAGACCAAGGCGCUUGAGAGAACUCUGCUGAAGGAACUAGGCAAAAUGGUACCGUAACUUCGGGAGAAGGUACGCUGUUGUUGGUGAUGGAACUCGCUUCCUGAGCUGACGACAGCCGCAGAAACCAGGCCGCUGCAACUGUUUAUUAAAAACAUAGCACUCUGCAAACACGAAAGUGGACGUAUAGGGUGUGAUGCCUGCCCGGUGCUGGAAGGUUAAUUGAUGGGGUUAGCGUAAGCGAAGCUCUUGAUCGAAGCCCCAGUAAACGGCGGCCGUAACUAUAACGGUCCUAAGGUAGCGAAAUUCCUUGUCGGGUAAGUUCCGACCUGCACGAAUGGCAUAAUGAUGGCGGCGCUGUCUCCAGCAGAGGCUCAGUGAAAUCGAAAUCGCUGUGAAGAUGCAGUGUACCCGCGGCUAGACGGAAAGACCCCGUGAACCUUUACUGCAGCUUGACACUGAACUUUGACCUUACUUGUGUAGGAUAGGUGGGAGGCUUUGAAGCUGGAACGCUAGUUCCAGUGGAGCCGUCCUUGAAAUACCACCCUGGUAAUGUUGAGGUUCUAACUCUGUCCCGUGAUCCGGGACGAGGACCGUGUCUGGUGGGUAGUUUGACUGGGGCGGUCUCCUCCUAAAGAGUAACGGAGGAGUACGAAGGUGCGCUCAGCGUGGUCGGAAAUCACGCGUAGAGUAUAAAGGCAAAAGCGCGCUUAACUGCGAGACCCACAAGUCGAGCAGGUACGAAAGUAGGUCUUAGUGAUCCGGUGGUUCUGUAUGGAAGGGCCAUCGCUCAACGGAUAAAAGGUACUCUGGGGAUAACAGGCUGAUACCGCCCAAGAGUUCAUAUCGACGGCGGUGUUUGGCACCUCGAUGUCGGCUCAUCUCAUCCUGGGGCUGAAGCAGGUCCCAAGGGUAUGGCUGUUCGCCAUUUAAAGAGGUACGCGAGCUGGGUUUAGAACGUCGUGAGACAGUUCGGUCCCUAUCUACCGUGGGCGCUGGAAAUUUGAGAGGAUCUGCUCCUAGUACGAGAGGACCAGAGUGGACGAACCUCUGGUGUACCGGUUGUGACGCCAGUCGCAUCGCCGGGUAGCUAUGUUCGGAAGGGAUAACCGCUGAAAGCAUCUAAGCGGGAAGCCUACCUCAAGAUAAGAUUUCCCUAG
rnacentral:rRNA from 1 species